rnacentral:rRNA from 1 species
GACGAACGCUGGCGGCGUGCUUAACACAUGCAAGUCGAACGAAGAGCGAUGGAAGCUUGCUUCUAUCAAUCUUAGUGGCGCACGGGUGAGUAACGCGUAAUCAACCUGCCCUUCAGAGGGGGACAACAGUUGGAAACGACUGCUAAUACCGCAUACGAUCUAAUCUCGGCAUCGAGGAUAGAUGAAAGGUGGCCUCUACAUGUAAGCUAUCACUGAAGGAGGGGAUUGCGUCUGAUUAGCUAGUUGGAGGGGUAACGGCCCACCAAGGCGAUGAUCAGUAGCCGGUCUGAGAGGAUGAACGGCCACAUUGGGACUGAGGCACGGCCCAGACUCCUACGGGAGGCAGCAGUGGGGAAUCUUCCGCAAUGGACGAAAGUCUGACGGAGCAACGCCGCGUGAGCGAUGACGGCCUUCGGGUUGUAAAGCUCUGUUAAUCGGGACGAAAGGCCUUCUUGCGAAUAGUGAGAAGGAUUGACGGUACCGGAAGAGAAAGCCACGGCUAACUACGUG